UACGUAGGGUGCGAGCGUUGUCCGGAAUUAUUGGGCGUAAAGGGCUCGUAGGCGGUUUGUCGCGUCGGGAGUGAAAUCCACUGGCUUAACUGGUGGCUUGCUUUCGAUACGGGCAGACUGGAGGUAUGCAGGGGGAGAACGGAAUUCCUGGUGUAGCGGUGAAAUGCGCAGAUAUCGGGAGGAACACCUAUGGCGAAGGCAGCUCGCUGGGACGUUACUGACGCUGAGACGCGAAAGCGUGGGGAGCAAACAGG
rnacentral:rRNA from 1 species